CUUCAGUACAGGCUCCAGAGCCACCUGCUGGGCCUCCAUCUCCCUCCGAGCCUGCUCAAGGAUGGAACGAAUGUUCUCGUCGGAGCUGCUGGAGGAGGACGGAGGCUGAGAACUCUCAACUGCAGGAACAGAGGAGAACAUAAAAAGACUCGCCUGCUUUCUGCACUUGCAACUCUCUCUUUGCCUGUUCCAAGAUGGACUUGAUGGCUUCAUCGGAGCCAGUCUCAGGCGUGCGGAUCCGUGUGGUGAUGUUACCUGUGUAGACACGAGAAGGACAUGUAGCUAUUCCAGGCCAGAGAUUGAGAAGAAACAGACCAGCACAACAAAAACAUACAAGACACAGCGGUUCUGAGACUGGAGAAACCCGGAACACGAGAGGGGAGGCGUGAGACAGACCUGGCCGCGUGGAGCCUUCCGAGCCGGUUCUUCGCUUCGGAACAUCCUGAAACACUCUGUUCAGGUUCUGGCCUGGGUUCUCUGUUGGAAAACAAGUGGCGGAAGAUAGAAAUAAAGUAAGACCAAGCCCUAAACUUCUCCAAUCAUCUCCAGGGCUCAACAAUAAGAAUGACCCGAGAAUGAGAGAUUUUCUUUUAGGCCUUUUAACAGAAAAGUCACCUGACCUACAGGCCUGGUAUAUUUUACAUUUGCAAAAACCUUGCAUUUGGAAUCAGAUUUCUGCUGAUUUAGCAAACACAGAUUAAGUUUUGCCAUAUUUGCGAGAGAAUGACUAGCCUUCGUCACAACAAAUCAGUUAAGUUUCACAUGCAAUCAUUUUCCAACAAAAAGUAUGAAUAAAUCCAUAGCUUUCAGUUACACUGUAGUUUUACAAUUUCCAGAUAUUACUGAAAAUAAAAAUGAAAAAAUCCUUAUUGUUGAGCCCUGAUCUGAAAUGGUUGUCAGAAUGUCUUCACAGUCAGUUUUGAGAGCACUUAGUAAUACUAAGCCAAAGUAAUACCUUUACAUGGACAGAUAGAUGGAAAUAUCCUUUGAAUGGUAGUUUGUUAAGCUUGAACACAUAUCGACCGAUUCUGACCUCAAAGAAAGCCACCUGCACCAUGUAGAACUCACUCAAGUGAUUAUUUCAACGUUAAUGUGCUCCUUUAGCCCAAGCCUUUGAUGUGAAUGAAUGGGUUUUAAGGUUUUUACAAAGUCCGUACUCCCAUGGGAGACCACAAGCUGACACUAUGGAGGCAGACAGCCAGACCACACUCCCUUGAAGACGUUCCAAACCGGUGUGCAGACGCACGGGCAGCACAGUCAGCCUUUUUCAGCUCCGGCUUGGUUUCAAAACUACUGCCUCACAGCUAGAUUGAACAAACCUAGACUCGGUUUAACACGGCUUCGAGGAUUCACAGCCAACUGCCCUCAUAUGCAAGUACUCUCGCUCACGCUGGGCUCGGCCUUGAUUUGUUCGCUCUAGCUGUGAAGCACAGACUUGAGGCAAAACAUAAUGCUCGCAAACUUCUCUGAACUUCCUCUUCACCCGUAGGCUGAGACGGAAAUGAAAGAAAGGGUAGACUGCUGAAGUUUAGCUCUAAUCAACACGCCGGCUGUGCCAGCUGAGUACUGAGUGUUUCAGACAGAAUCUAGUCUCUAGUAGUCUAGUCUAGUAGUUAUCUGAGGACUCCUAAAUUUAAAGGUUAUGUGCACCAUGGUUAGUUUAGCCUAAAGCUUAUUGGAAGGGAACCAUGGAAGCCUGUUUUUGUCUACAGUAAAGAAAAAAGGUGACUGCGACUUCAUACUUAAAGAUUAUGUCUUCAUAUCUCACAAAUGUAAUUUAUUUAUUUUUUUACAUCAGAAAUGUGACUACUUUUCUCAUAAUUGAAACUCUUUACCUCAGAAAUGCUUUUACCUUUUAAAAUUUUUACCUCACAAAUGCAUCUCAAAAUCGCAACUUUAUAUCUCACAAAUAUGACUAUACUUCACAAAU